GAUGAAAAACGCAGCGAAAUGCGAUAAGUAAUGUGAAUUGCAGAAUUCAGUGAAUCAUCGAGUCUUUGAACGCACAUUGCGCCCCCUGGUAUUCCGGGGGGCAUGCCUGUCCGAGCGUCAUUGCCGCCCUCAAGCACGGCUUGUGUGUUGGGCCCCCGCCCCCCGGCUUCGGGGGGCGGGCCCGAAAGGCAGCGGCGGCACCGCGUCCGGUCCUCGAGCGUAUGGGGCUUCGUCACCCGCUCUGUAGGCCCGGCCGGCGCCCGCCGGCGACCCCAAUCAAUCUUUCCAGGUUGACCUCGGAUCAGGUAGGGAUACCCGCUGAACUUAAGCAUAUCAAUAAGCGGAGGA
rnacentral:misc_RNA from 1 species